rnacentral:siRNA from 1 species
AGGUGAAUCUAGAGUCUCCCCUG